rnacentral:rRNA from 1 species
CCUACGGGUGGCAGCAGUCGAGAAUUGUUCACAAUGGGGGAAACCCUGAUGGUGCGACGCCGCGUGGGGGAAUGAAGGUCUUCGGAUUGUAAACCCCUGUCAUGUGGGAGCAAAUUAAAAAGAUAGUACCCCAAGAGGAAGAGACGGCUAACUCUGUGCCAGCAGCCGCGGUAAUACAGAGGUCUCAAGCGUUGUUCGGAAUCACUUGGCGUAAAGCGUGCGUGAGCUGGUACGUAAAUCGUGCGUGAAAGACGCGGGCUCAACCCGCGGACGGCACAUGAUACCGCGAGACUAGAGUAAUGGAGGGGGAACCGGAAUGCUCGGUGUAGCAGUGAAAUGCGUAGAUAUCGAGAGGAACACUCGUUGCGAAGGCGGGUUCCUGGACAUUAACUGACGCUGAGGCACGAAGGCCAGGGGAGCGAAAGGGAUUAGAUACCCUUGUAGUC